UGGAGCCUAAAACAAGAUGGCUGCCACAGGAAAUGCUUCUAACAAGAUGGCUGCUACCCCAGUAGUCUGCCUUUUUCAGUCGCCUGUUGUCUGUUAUAUCUGAGGACUGACCACGCCCCAAUGCCACAGGCAUCUUUUGUGCACCAUGUAGAGCUACGCUGUCUUACAAUCUCUCAUCCAGGAAUUUACCUGCUGCUUCUGAUUUCCUCAACACACACACAAAUAAAAAAGAUGAAGACGAGGUGAAGAUCAAAUCAGAUGAGGAGAAAACUCACAGUGGGAGGAAGAACACUUUAACACACACACACACACACACUACAUACCUCCUACCACAUCAGACUCAGGAUGUAACACACUACUGGUCACACUGCACAUUUACACACUUCCUGAUACGUUGCACAUUCCGUUGGUUCCUGUUUAAACACUGCUCAUGUGUCACACUAACGAGGAAUAACUGCAGUUUGUAAUUCCUUCUGAAUCGUCUGUAAUUUAUCCUGAAUCAUUUCUACACUUUAACACCUCAUACACUUCUACUGUAAAUAUGUUCUGUUUAGCAACCUUAUAAAUAUAAUACAUUUUCCAGCUUAAAGUUCUAUAUGUUGUAAAAUAUGUUUUUAAAAAAUUAUAUUUUUAUCACACUGUGUAUGGCUGUGUAUGUGACAAAUAAAAUGAGAGUCUUUCCUUUGAAUUGGAUUUUUAUGUGAACAUUCACACAGUAUAUUUUAUUCUGUAUGAGUUUUGGUAACGUUUUGCACACACACAGGGACGCAGCAGUUUGUUGUAGACAUUGAAUGAAUUGAGUUUCUGUAAACAAAGAACCAGUCCAAACUCCUGCAGAUCUUCUUCAAACAGCACAGAGAACAUGAAGAAACUCGUCUCACUCAGUCUCCACCCAGAGACCUGCCUUUAGAAAUGUUCAUAUCUGUCAGACUUUCUCUUCUUUAUGUAGCCAGGUUUGUGCUCGGUCUGUUCUCCAUCUCCUGAUGCGCUGAAGUUUGACAAAUCAUGUGGCCACCAGAACGUCUGAUUCCAAGAGCUCUAGUGCUUUUGC